GAUGAACGCUGGCGGCGUGCCUAAUACAUGCAAGUCGAGCGAACAGACGAUGAGCUUGCUCCUCUGACGUUAGCGGCGGACGGGUGAGUAACACGUGGAUAACCUACCUAUAAUACUGGGAUAACUUCGGGAAACCGGAGCUAAUACCGUAUAAUAUAUUGAUCCGCAUGGUUCAAUAGUGAAAGACGGUUUUGCUGUCACUUAUAGAUGGAUCCGCGCCGCAUUAGCUAGUUGGUGAGGUAACGGAGUAUCAAGGCAACGAUGCGUAGCCGAACUGAGAGGGUGAUCGGCCACACUGGAACUGAGACACGGUACAGUCGCCUUCGGGAGGCAGCAGUAGGGAAUCUGCAGCAAUGGGCGAAAGCCUGACGGAGCAGCGCCGCGUGAGUGAUGAGGGUCGUCGGAUCCUAAAACUCUGUUAUUAGGGAAGAACAAGUGUGUAAGUAACUAUGCACGUCUUGACGGUAACUAAUCAGAGAGCCACGGCUAACUACGUG
rnacentral:rRNA from 1 species